GUAUAGCUGGCUGCUGUAUAGUGUCAGGGCAGCCAUGAGUAAGCAGAGAGCACUAUGUAACCUCAGACAAAGGUAGCAGCUGUGCUACCUCUGUUUCCACUGUUUGUUUCUAGCAGUAACCAAGUUUUGAGCUGGUCACCCAACGUGUGUGAAGGAAUAAAUCAUUGGAUACAUUCAUAUGUCAGGAGAAAAAAUACCAUUGUAUUUUGAAACCAUCCAGGAGGUCAUAAACCAAAUUAUGUUCUACAGCACCAUAAAAAUUUCUUCACACAGAGCAAGGGCAGCACAGAAAAAGCAAGUCUCUGUGUAUCCAUAAAUACUUAAUCACAGUCUAUUCUUUUUCAAGGAGGGAUUUACAUGAAACACUUUAGAGUCAGAACACAGAAAACCAUCCUUGGAGAUUACUUCCAGCUUCAGGAUCAGUUCAAAAUGAGGGGACUGGUUACAAGAAUCAAGGUCUCCUAGUAGAAUGGACACAUCUUAGCAGGUGGCUGUUCAGCCAGCAGGAUUACAGAUACUUCUCUGGGAAAUAAAACGUUCCCUCACAAACGAGGUACCAGUUAUGGAGGCCUGCCUUGAUCUGAGAGAUCUGCCUGCCUACAGCACAAGCUACUCAGGAGAAAAGGAGCUAAGUCUUCCUAUUUAAAUAUUUUUAUGGGGGAAAAAUCAGGUUUAUUUUUAAUUUUUCUUUUCAUGCAGUUUCUCUAUUUUUCAAAGUUGCAUUUGAGGUGUGGGAGGAGAUUACUUCCAGAGAAAAUUUCCCUGCUCUGCUAAUAAAUGAUAUCCAAGCAACGUGUGAUCCCACCACAGAUGUGUCAGCUUUAUAAAGGAAUGUGCGAGGAUAUCAUGUUUCUUAGUUAUUUUAAGACUUCCAGAAUUACAAAGCCAUCCUACUUAUAAAAAAGCAUGUGCAGGCACAGCCUUAUUUUUGUAGUGGAACCCACAUCUAAGGAGAAAGCUGAAUGAAAGAGCACAAAUAUAAAAGCAACCUGCACCAUUUCAAAUAAAUUCUGCACUAAAGACCUGAUCUCAUUUGUACCAGUGUGAGUACACUGAAGUCAGUCAAAUUACACAGACGUAAACAAGGAGAUGCAGAACCAAACCCUAGAUAUCCUUGUCCCUUGCACCAUAACACACAGGCAAAGCUAAUUUUCUGUGGGAGUGGCUGCUAUUAUAUUCUCUGAUAUAUAAAUCAGAGACUUGGAGACACGGCAGCUCAGCUGACAAGCAGAACAGGUUUCAGUAUGCUAUUUCAGACCUUUCUGCCACAAAAUUGUCUGUGGGACAAAGUAAAAAAUGAAGAAACUGAAUUCUACUCUUAUGUGAUUUCAGUUCUCAGUCCUGACAUAAAACAUGAUCUCUACAUUCACUUUUGGAGAUUUUGCCAAAAGCUUGCAGAUUUUACAGUCUUUAUGAGGAGUGAGAGCAUGCAAGAAUCCAUUUACCAAAUAUUUUCUGCAGGAUAGGGCCUUAGUUUUUAUGCAGCAGGAUAAUCUUUAAUGUGGGUACCCAUCUUUUCUGAAUAAAGGUCACACAAGAGCAACAGAAAGAUUAGCAAUGCAUCAUUUUAGACUAUAGUCUUAAGUAAUCCUUGACUACAAAAUGCUUCUCUGGUACAAUUUACUUUGCUACACACUGUUGCCCAAAGUUCCCAGUCACUUGAACAUAAAACCUUUAUCCAUUAAGAAUGGGUUCAAAGCAUUUUCCCAUGUCAUGGGCAGGACAAUUGAAGUGACGCAUUUUAAGCAGUGAUCUGAUUGCUGAUUUAUCAUCCUGAAGACUGCCAAACCUAUGCACCCAUUGCUUGGGUUUACAUCAGGGAUGUUUACAACAUAAACAAUACCAGAUGCAAGCCAGCUCUGCCCCAUGCUCCAAGCCUGAAAAGGAUAAUGGUGCAUUAUCGUCUCACCAAGUCUAAGGUGAUAUACCCUACCAUUGCAUCUUGUCUCUCUGAACAGGCUUAAUUAGCUUAGUCUCAAGCACUGUACUGGCAUGAUCCAUGCUAUUUUCUGCUGAACAGGAGGCUGAGGGCUCCUGGCAGAAGCAGCAGUGGAGAAAGACACAGAAGAUACUCCCACCUCACAGAGAAUCCUCUGAAGCAUGGCAGCAAGGGAUGCCUAAGGAAGGAGCUCUCCUCUGGCAAGAGAGAAGAGAAAAUUCCCCAAGACAAUGUCAUCUCUGUUCACUCUUCAGCAAGCAACAGGCCCAAGUCUCAUCCAUUCCAGGACUUAUUUUACGUGCCCUCAUUGCAAUUUGAUUAACAAUCAAUUACAAACUAAGUUUUUAUGUAGACUGAGGGCAUGGAAAUUUCAGGCCUCUACUUACAUGAAUUCUUUAUAGUCAAAUAUUUAUUUGCAGUAAGUAUUUGAGAGAAAGCCAAGGAAGCACACAUGUUCACAGAGCUUGCUGUCUACACUGCGUUUCAGCCUUAGUCAAGGAGAAACUAAGAUGCAAUUGCAUAGAGUUGUCCUAUCCACUUUCUUCCUUCUGAUUUCUAGAUUUAUAAAAUAGAAGGCCAGUUAACUGCACUUAAGGACCUAGGCUGCUCAUUUAUAAAAUACCAACUGUAAAAUUUCAUUCAGUCACCCUUUAUUGAACCCAACAACAUGCAACUGAGGUAUAACUUUUUUCUAGCGGAAGGUUACCUCCUCUAAAAAUAAGAAGUACUGUUUAAAAGAAAUCUCUCAUCUUCUUCAUUUAUUCCAUUGCAAUUUGCUUUCUGUAACAAAAGUAGACAACAGAGAGGCAAAUCAAAAUUAUUUGAAUAUACUUGUAAAUUUCAAAUAUAUUGCCCCUCAGCCUUCUUUUGCUAAGCUAUGUAGCCCAAAUUAUUUCAAGAUUUUCACUGUACCUACAGCCCAGCAGUGGCUUUUGUAGCUGUUGUCAUACCAUUUUCAUUCUGCAUUUUAGAGGCACACUAGACGUGAACAGUCUUGCAGUAUCAGUCCCAUUUCACUUUUUCCUCCUCAUCUUCACUGUUCCUCUAACAACAACGUCAGCCUUCCUUACCACAGCCCGAGGCAUGGAAAGAUACAGACCAACCCCUACGCUUUUGCAGACUCGCUGCUGCUUCAGGUUUCUCAUUAAAGGGACUGCCUACAGAGCCUGGGUCUGAACCAACAAGUUUAUAUUUGACUGCAUUAGCAAAAUGUGUGUUAACAGGCCUGCUGUACUAAAGCAUCCUGAUUUCUCCUUCCAUUUUCUAUGUUCUCAUCAUUGAUUAACACUCUGCCUAUCUUCCUAACAAAAUAUCACUGCUAUUUACAGUAUGAGAACAUUUGCAUCUAGAUCACUAAUGAAAAAACAGAAUAACAUAAGACUUGGUAAUAAUCUAGUACAUGGAAUAUGCUCAAAACAAUUCCAGUUGGUGAGGCUACCCUUUUGAUCCAGCUUUUAAUCCACGUGCUAUUUACUUUAAUGAUAUCAGUGUGCUAGUUUUAAAUCAGAAUAUUAUGUGGUACUCAUACUGAUAUUUUGCUGAUACUUUUUAAUGAAUCUGAUUUGAAUAAGAUUUUCUUAACAUUAUUUAUUUAUUUCAAAAUCAUGGUGACUGCCAUUAAAUAUAUUUGCUAUCA